AAACCAGCUACUCCCUCGAAACGGGACGGACAAAAAGGGACGGAGACACGAUGCCGUUACCCGUCCGCCUCCCUCCACCGGUCGCCGCUGCCGCCGCCUCCAUUCUCGCCGCGGUCGACCUGCGCCGCUACCUGUACUGGAACCCCCGGGAGUCGACCUCCAUGGCCACGUCCGCACAUAGGAACACCGCCAGCGCCGCCGCCGUCACCCUCCUCGUGCUGUCCGCCAAGUCCCCCGAGGACCAGCAACUCCUCGCCUCCUCCGCCGGUUCUAUCUCGCUGGAUGAGGGCGAAUCCGGCGGAGGCGGGGUCACUGUCUCCCUUGCCCCCGCAGCCGGCGUGGACGCGGGCUUCGACGCGGGCGCUUACAUGGGUGCGCUCCGGGCGCGGCGCUUCGGGAGGUGGAUGCUCUGGUCGCCGAGGAUGGGCUCCACGCACGACCUCGUGUCACAGAACUUCGCCAAGCUUCCGGUGGGCGUUGUGUGCGUGGCCGACGUGCAGUUCAAAGGCAGAGGACGAUCAAAAAAUGUGUGGGAAUCACCUCCAGGUUGUCUCAUGUUCUCGUUCACAUCACAGAUGAGUGAUGCACGUAAGCUGCCUCUCAUGCAAUAUGUUGUUUGCCUUGCUAUGGCCGAAGCCAUCAAAGAAUUGACCUGUGCUAAGGGGCUUUCAAAGUUAGAUGUAAGGAUAAAAUGGCCUAAUGAUCUAUAUCUGAAUGGGUUAAAAGUUGGUGGUAUUCUUUGUACCUCGUCAUACCAACCGAAAGUCUACAAUAUUUGUACUGGUAUUGGUUUAAACGUUGAUAAUGAGGAGCCUACAACAUGUUUAAAUGCUGCACUUAGAAAAGUAAAUGCUGAUUCACCGGGACUGAAACAAGAGGAUAUACUAGCAUCGUUCUUCAACAAAUUUGAAGAUCUUUUCGAGAUAUUCACGAAUCAAGGCUUUAAGGCUCUAGAGGAGCGAUACUACAACUCAUGGCUUCAUAGGUAUGAGUGGCCAAAGAGUCAUCGUACAGGAUGUGCCUGAAGGCGAAGGCCAGUCUGUAGACAGUGUAGUCACUAUUCAGGGACUAACUCCGAGUGGUUAUUUACAUGCGAUUGGUGAUGACGGCAAAAGCUGUGAACUGCACCCUGAUGGUAACAGCUUUGAUUUCUUCAGAGGGUUGAUCAGGAGGAAGUUCAAAGCAUAGUAGAUCGUCUCUUACAGCUAUAGGCAGUGGAAUAGUAGAACACAUUGUACGCGCAGCCGGCGGGGCGGCGGAUGAGUGGAGCGAAGGGAGAUGUAUAGAAGGCGAGUAGAGCGAUGGAAGGGGUGAAAGGAAACGAAGGCCACGUAGCAACACAGAUUCUUUCUCUUUGAGAGUGGUAGAGAAAUAAAUAAUGGGCGAUUGUAUUAUUGCUGUCGGUAUAGAAUAACACCAGCACCACUCAUGCAUCUCACAGACACAUAGUAUGAUUUAUCCUUGGUUGAAACGGAGGAAUUACUCUGCA